GACGAACGCUGGCGGCGUGCUUAACACAUGCAAGUCGAACGGAAAGGCCCUGCUUGCAGGGUACUCGAGUGGCGAACGGGUGAGUAACACGUGGGUGAUCUGCCCUGCACUUCGGGAUAAGCCUGGGAAACUGGGUCUAAUACCGGAUAGGAGCCAUUUUUAGUGUGAUGGUUGGAAAGUUUUUUCGGUGUAGGAUGAGCUCGCGGCCUAUCAGCUUGUUGGUGGGGUAAUGGCCUACCAAGGCGGCGACGGGUAGCCGGCCUGAGAGGGUGGACGGCCACAUUGGGACUGAGAUACGGCCCAGACUCCUACGGGAGGCAGCAGUGGGGAAGAUUGCACAAUGGGCGCAAGCCUGAUGCAGCGACGCCGCGUGGGGGAUGACGGCCUUCGGGUUGUAAACGCCGUUCGCUAGGGACGAAGCUUUUUGUGACGGUACCUAGAUAAGAAGCACCGGCUAACUACGUG
rnacentral:rRNA from 1 species